rnacentral:rRNA from 1 species
GACGAACGCUGGCGGCGUGCUUAACACAUGCAAGUCGAACGGAAAGGCCCUGCUUUUGUGGGGUGCUCGAGUGGCGAACGGGUGAGUAACACGUGAGUAACCUGCCCUUGACUUUGGGAUAACUUCAGGAAACUGGGGCUAAUACCGGAUAGGAGCUCCUGCUGCAUGGUGGGGGUUGGAAAGUUUCGGCGGUUGGGGAUGGACUGGCGGCUUAUCAGCUUGUUGGUGGGGUAGUGGCUUACCAAGGCUUUGAAGGGUAGCCGGCCUGUGAGGGUGACCGGCCACAUUGGGACUGAGGGACGGCACAGACGGGUAAGGGAGGCAGCAGGGGGGAAUACUGCACAAUGCACGGAAGCCUGAUGCAGAAGCGCCGCGUGCGGGAAGACGGCUUUCUGGGUAAAAACAGCUUUCGCCUUUAACGAAGCGUGAUUGACGGUAACGGGUAAAGAAGCACCGGCUAACUACGUG